ensembl:miRNA Mir210 microRNA mir-210
GGCUCAGGACAGCCACUGCCCACCGCACACUGCGUUGCUCCGGACCCACUGUGCGUGUGACAGCGGCUGAUCUGUCCCU